rnacentral:tRNA from 1 species
AUGGAUGGGGCUGGAGGUUAAGGGCACUGGGCUGCUUUUCCAGAGGACCUGGGUUCACUUCCCAGCACCCACA